rnacentral:tRNA from 1 species
UCCCUCGUGGCGCAAUUGGCUAGCGCGUUCGACUGUUACAAGCAAUCUGUGCAAUCGAGAGGUUGGUGGUUCGAGCCCACCCGAGGGAG